CGGCCGCCUACCAGCUCGCUAGGAGCUGCAUGGGUGUCUUUUCAUAAACUCAGCUGGAGUGAGACCCUGACGGCUGGCCCAGCUCUCCCCACCAGCUCUGGAGGAUCCCUAAUAUUGACGCAGUGGGAGAUCAGCUGCAUUGGAGGGGCGCAAAGGGUGGCUCUCCACCCUCCACAGCCUCAGCUCCUCCCCAGUCCCCGGAACACACAGGUCAAGCCCGCUGAAGUGGAAUCCCAGUGAGCUGUGGCCACAGAACUUCUAGACGCCGGUGGGUCUGAGUUCCUCUGCAGAAGACUAAGAAUAAAACCAGGCACCAAGAAGGAGAGAAAGUUUUUGUGUUAUUAUUCCAGUAAGUGUGAUUUUCACAAAGAGGGACAUGAGAGGCAAAUCGAUCUCUUCAUCCGUUACAUGAAUCGAAUCGAAGAUCAAAAUGAUGAAUUGAUCAUGAUGAUGCAUCAGCCAAUUUUGGGCACCAGGAGAAAGACAGUAAUUGGAUUGUAUUGUCCUAGAUCCUACACUCAAUGGAGGGGGUUAAUUGUGGAAAGUCAAUCUAAGAGACUCCUUGUGGGAUAUCAUAAAGAUGUCUUAAUGUGUUAAGUGACUGACCAGUUUAGGAUGGAUCCGAUCAAUGUCUCCUGGGAACUUUUGGAAAUCAUUUAAAGUCAACAAUGGAUCUUUUUCUUAUUUUGAUUUUUUGAAAUCUCACUGCCUACUUUGUUAAUAAAGUUCCUAAAUAAUAAGGGCUGGAAAUCUGUACCUUACCAGGGACUAGGCAAAGGCCAAAAGCCUUUAGAUCCCUUUCCCCAAUGCAGUCAAGUUAUAUAGAGUCAGUUGCUAAUAAAGUACCACCACUGUAGUAGACAAUUAUGCUUGAGGAAAUAGUUCUCUAGUAUUUUGCAGGGCUUGUCCUACAAAACGUUGACACACGUUGGGGACUGUUACUCAUCCCUUGUGGCAAAACUGCCCAUUGAUAUCUUUUCAUAGUUUUCUCAAAGUUUACACUAGGUAUAAAGACAGCAAAUUUCUGACAAUCAAAAGGAUGCAAGGCAAUUGUAAAGAAGCAGUCCUUGAGAUCCACAGUGACCAGUGUCCACUCCCUAGGCACAGCAGUGGGGAAUGGAAGCCCUGGCUGCAGUGCUUCCAUCAGCUGCAAACAAGCAUUAACUGUUCUCAAAUGCUGUAACAAUCUCCACUUACCAGGAUUUUGGGGAAUAAAAAACACAGAGGUGUUCCAAGGACUAACUGAUGACUCCAAGUGACCCAAUUGAAUCUGUUUCUGUAUUAACUCAUAUAGAUGUACAAGCUUCUGUUUGAGGGGUUGUUGAUCUACCCAAACAGAAAUUCCAGUAUUCAUUGUAGGAGUAAAGCCACCUUUGGAGGAGAAGUACUAACAAAUGGAUUGAUAGUCAGUUCCUAUCCAAACUAGUUUAACCUCAACAUUUGAAGACUCAGGCCCGUCCUGCAAAUUUUUU